rnacentral:lncRNA from 1 species
AAUUGCUGGGCUGCCUCUCCAGCUUCCAAGCUGGAGUUUUAGAGGACUAAAUACAAGCGGUCACAACAACAUCGGUACUCUCUGCUUUCUGACUGUGGAUCCAAUAUGACUAGCAGCCUUCUACUCCUGCCUCCAUGGCUUCUCUAUCAUGGUGACCUGUACCUGCAAACUAGGACCUAGAAGAAUCCCUUCCCUAAGUGGCAUCUUGUCAGGACUGCAGACAUCCCCACCUGAAGAAACCUAUAUGAGGCCCCGUUAUUACAUCAGGAGAGCUGAAGUCAGCAAGCACACUACUAUCAGCAGACACCCACAGGACAUGACAGGGGUUGUUUGGACCAUGCCCCUCCCAACAGUGAUGAAGGGAGCAAAGUGGAAACCCCCACCGUCAUGACUGGCAGAAAACAACCACCGCUGCACUGGCUUUUGCAACACAAACCACGUUUUUAUCGUACAAGCAAGGCAUUGUGUGGGCAAGAACCAAACCCGCUUCAGGACAUCAAGGGCUCUGGGCAUCGUGAGAGUUUCCUUUUGUGUUUUGAUGGGGAUCAAGAGCAACACUGCCUGGACCCCUUCCUGGACACCCGCCAGGAGUCAUCUAAGAGAGGCUAAAGGAAUGCAAGUGUUUUCUGGAGAUGGCCCACCAUUUUUACGUGUCCUACAAUGGGUCAGCUCUGAGAGGCCAGGCCCAAAGAGACUUCAUCUCAGGAUUGCUUCUUGCUAUUAUAUGCUUUUCCUGUCACCAUUACAUAGUUUAAUGAUUCCUGGGCAAAAGCUGAACUUUCAUGAAUUAAUGCUGUUUAGACAACUUAAUGAUUUUGUAGAAUUUCUGCUUUGAUUCAAACAAUUUUAGGAAGAACAUUUUUGGGAGAUAGUUUUGGCUGUUUUGCUAAACAGAUAUAAUAAAAUCAGAAUCAAGAAUAAAA